UACAGAGGUGGCAAGCGUUGUUCGGAAUUACUGGGCGUAAAGGGCGCGUAGGCGGCCUUCUAAGUCAGACGUGAAAUCCCCAGGCUUAACUUGGGAACUGCGUCUGAUACUGGGAGGCUUGAGUGCGGGAGAGGGAUGUGGAAUUCCAGGUGUAGCGGUGAAAUGCGUAGAUAUCUGGAGGAACACCGGUGGCGAAGGCGGCAUCCUGGACCGACACUGACGCUGAGGCGCGAAAGCCAGGGGGAGCAAACGGG
rnacentral:rRNA from 1 species